rnacentral:misc_RNA from 1 species
CACAAAUGGAAUCCAAGAUGGCGACCUCUGGUUCAGCGUUUGAUGCGGAACUUGGCCAAAGGAUCAAAAUUGUUAAGGAAACUCUUGCGAUUGUUAUGAGAUCAGCAAAUAUGGCUAUUAACCAAAAUGCAGAAGUCGACCUUGGAACGAAAUCAGUUGAGGGAGCAAACAACAGACUUGAGAAAAGCUUAGAAGACUUUUAUAAUGCUUGUGACCAGCUGCAGCUUUAUUUGGUAUAAACAAAUUGAAUGUUUUGUGUCUUAACUCUUCAUUGCCCUGGCCAAACAAAAACAGGAGUCAUCAAUAAUAAUUAUUAUUAACUAUGUCAUUAUUGUUGAAGAAUGAGAGCUGUACAAGAGUCUCUGUCCUGUCUAAGUUUCCAUGGUUCAACUAAUAAUAAAAUUAA